rnacentral:rRNA from 1 species
GACGAACGCUGGCGGCGUGCUUAACACAUGCAAGUCGAGCGAUGAAGUUCCUUCGGGAAUGGAUUAGCGGCGGACGGGUGAGUAACACGUGGGUAACCUGCCUCAUAGAGGGGAAUAGCCUUCCGAAAGGAAGAUUAAUACCGCAUAAGAUUGUAGUACCGCAUGGUACAGCAAUUAAAGGAGCAAUCCGCUAUGAGAUGGACCCGCGUCACAUUAGCUAGUUGGUGAGGUAACGGCUCACCAAGGCGACGAUGCGUAGCCGACCUGAGAGGGUGAUCGGCCACAUUGGGACUGAGACACGGCCCAGACUCCUACGGGAGGCAGCAGUGGGGAAUAUUGCACAAUGGGGGAAACCCUGAUGCAGCAACGCCGCGUGAGUGAUGACGGUCUUCGGAUUGUAAAACUCUGUCUUCAGGGACGAUAAUGACGGUACCUGAGGAGGAAGCCACGGCUAACUACGUGCCAGCCGCCGCCGUAAGAC